GACAGAGGGUGCAAACGUUGCUCGGAAUCACUGGGCGUAAAGGGCGUGUAGGCGGGUAGAUAAGUCGGGCGUGAAAUCCCUAGGCUCAACCUAGGAACUGCACUCGAAACUGUUUAUCUUGAGUGCCGGAGAGGAAAGCGGAAUUCCUGGUGUAGAGGUGAAAUUCGUAGAUAUCAGGAGGAACACCAGUGGCGAAGGCGGCUUUCUGGACGGUAACUGACGCAUGAGACGGCG
rnacentral:rRNA from 1 species